rnacentral:rRNA from 1 species
UGACUGUGCUAAGUGACACUAUCAAUAGUCUUUUAAUUGAAGGCUGGAAUGAAUGGUUGGACGAAAUAUUAACUGUUUCAUUUAAAAUUUUUAUAGAAUUUUAUUUUUUAGUCAAAAAGCUAAAAUUUAUUUAAAAGACGAGAAGACCCUAUAAAUCUUUAUAUUUUUUUUUAUUUUAAUUAUAUAGAUUAAUUAAAUUUUAAUAAAUAAAAAUAUUUUAUUGGGGUGAUAUUAAAAUUUAAAAAACUUUUAAUUUUUUAAAAACAUAAAUUUAUGAAUAUUUGAUCCAUUAAUAAUGAUUA